rnacentral:rRNA from 1 species
AACGCUGGCGGCGUGCCUAACACAUGCAAGUCGAACGCGAAAGGGGCUUCGGUCCUUAGUAGAGUGGCGAACGGGUGAGUAACGCGUGGGUGAUCUACCUUCGAGUGGGGGAUAACGUUCCGAAAGGGGCGCUAAUACCGCAUGACGUUCUGGGUUUAAAGACCUGGAAACCAAAGCCGGGGACCGCAAGGCCUGGCGCUUGAAGAGGAGCCCGCGUCCGAUUAGCUAGUUGGCGGGGUAAUGGCCCACCAAGGCGACGAUCGGUAGCCGGCCUGAGAGGGCGGACGGCCACACUGGAACUGAGACACGGUCCAGACUCCUACGGGAGGCAGCAGUGGGGAAUUGUUCACAAUGGGCGCAAGCCUGAUGACGCAACGCCGCGUGGGGGAUGAAGGUCUUCGGAUUGUAAACCCCUGUCGAAUGGGACGAAUAGCCCUCGAGUUAAUACUGCGCGGGAAUGACGGUACCGUUAAAGGAAGGCACGGCUAA